UACGGGGGGGGCAAGCGUUGUUCGGAAUUACUGGGCGUAAAGGGCUCGUAGGCGGCCAACUAAGUCGGACGUGAAAUCCCCAGGCUCAACCUGGGAACUGCGUCCGAUACUGGAUGGCUUGAAUCCGGGAGAGGGAUGCAGAAUUCCAGGUGUAGCGGUGAAAUGCGUAGAUAUCUGGAGGAAUACCGGUGGCGAAGGCGGCAUCCUGGACCGACAUUGACGCUGAGGAGCGAAAGCUAGGGGAGCAAACGGG
rnacentral:rRNA from 1 species